rfam:Homo sapiens chromosome 16, GRCh38 reference primary assembly.
GGGAACAGCAGCAACAUGGGCCUCGCUUCCUGCCGGCGCGGCCCGGGCUGCUGCUGUU